AAGAUAUCUUGGUUGCUUCUAAGUUUGGGCAAUUGGGAAUAAAGCUUCUAUAGACACCUAUGUGCAAGUUUUUGUGUGGACAUAAGUUUUCGUCUCAUUUGGGUAAGUCCCGAGGAGUGUGAUUGCUGGAUCCUAGAGUAAGAGUAUGUUUAGUUUGUAAGAACCUGUCUUCCAGUGGGACUCUACCAUUUUGCAUUUCCACCAGCAGUGAACGAGCCUUCCUGUUGCUCCACAUCCUCACCAGCGUUUCGUGUUGUCAGUGUCUUGGAUUUUCACAAUUCUAAUAGGUAUGUAGUGGUGUCUCAUUGUUGUUUUAAUUUGCAGUCCCCCGAUGACAUAGGAUGUGGAGCAUCUUCUCAUAUGCAUAUUUGCUGUCUGUAGAUCUUCUUUGAUGAGAUGUUUGUUCAGGUCUUUUGCCCAUUUUUUAAUCAGGUUGUUUGUUUUGUUGAGUUUUAAGAGGGUUUUUUGGUAUGUUUUUGAACAGUCCUUUCUCAGAUAUGUCUUUUGCAAAUAUUUUCUCACCGCCUGUGGCUUGUCUUCUCAUUCUCUUGACUCUCAUCCAUGUUCCAAUGAGAGCCAGAGGACAGACGGUGCUGGAUCCAAAGCAGGAUUUCUCAACCUCAGGACUAUUGACAUUUUGGGCUGGAAGAUUCUUUUUUGUGGGAACCUGUCCUGUGUCUUGUAGAAUGUUUAGCAGCAAGCUGAGCUCAACACAUUAGUUGCCAUUAGCAGCACCCCUCCUACUUGUGACAAUAAAAAACAUCAUCCGACAUCGGCAAAUGUCCCUGGGGUGGGGUGGGGGAAUCACCCCUGAUUGAGAACCUCUACUCCAAAGGAAUGAAUCAGUAUUGGUGAAAUUUAAGUCAUCAAUGAGGAAGGGUCAGUUCAGAAAUAUUUUGAUUCAAAGGCCUUCCAAGUGCCCCAGGAACCAUUACCAGUAGGUUCCCACUGAUCCAAUCCUGUUAGGUACAGUGAUCACACAUCCCAAUUCAUCUAGGAUAUGUUUACAGCGAUAGUCCCAGCAAAACUGUUAAUUGUGCCACCUUUCACUCUCAAAGAUAUCUCAGAUGAUAAAUGAUAAAUAAAGGCCAUCUAGAAUCUCCAGGAACUGUAAUUCCAAUACAGGCCCUCCGUGGCUGCCCUCUGGCCUGGGGUGUCUGGAGUAAGUGCUGACUGCUGGGGUCCAGCAGGAUAUUCUGGCCAUUCAUCUGCUUUAUACGCAUGAGCAUGUUCAUGAGGACGUGGAGACUCAGAAACUUUCCCGGGAAGCCUUGGCUGUGUAUUUCAUAAAGCAUUGGAGGAUAGGCAAAAAACGGAAGGGUCAGUCGGAGCAUUGUGUGCGUGCAUGUGUGUGUGUGUCUGAUUUAACGUGUACUCAUCGAUGCCUCAAUGCCGGAUUCCUUCCUUGUGCACUAGCAGCAAAUUCACCACGGUGUAACUCUACACAGUGUGAAUGGACAAUGGCUGUGUAAUUUUAACAGCUGUUGAAAUCUGUAACCUUAGACUACACUUUCAUCCAGUUCACAUGAGGAGGAUGUAACACAGGUCAGAGUCAGGGCAGGAAUAAAGCAAGCGGCUCAGAAGGACCCUGUCUGUUAAGUUCAGCUAGUAGCUGUCGGCAGUCGCAGCCCUCCUUUUGUUUCCAUUCUGGAGCAGUGCGAAUAUCAGAUAAGAGCACUCAAAAAUGCUCUUAACAUUAGCUUUUUGGUUUAAUGAGCGUUAUUAUUUAGCUAUUAUUAUUAAACUCAGGAUUGCUACUACAACUGAACAUAGACUCCUGGCAGCCAAAGUAACAAAUAAAAGAGGAAUUAAAAAUUAGCCGUUCGUCUGCAUUCGCCUCAGUAAAGGAAGCCCAUCAUCAGGAGAGAGAAAUUUGUUUUUCUGGCUUGAAUGAUCUCGCAUGAAUUUAACACAGUAAUUGCCGUAAGGGACACUGAAGUCAAAAGGAGUGGCGUCUUCCAAAGCAGUUUUACAAUAGUUGCAAAAACGUCUUCCUGUGAUAAAGUCAUUUCUUAUAUUGUUCCCAAUAAGUGCCAAGAGCAGUGCGCACAAGCCUAGAAGUGACAGCUAAUGUGGCCUCUGGUGACAGUCAGGCACCGCGCUGUGAAUUUUUUCCUGCCAACUUUAAGCCUUCCUAGGCUUCCCGGUUCCGCUUGUCUGCUUGGAUUAGAUUCUCUUCAAGGCCGGGACCCCUGGAAUCCCAGCUCCGUUUCCGAGACUACCAAAGCACAGAAGUUCUGCUGGGCAGCCGGGACUCCACAGCGUUCCCUGGGACUUCGAUGACUUUUCAGGAGGGUGGUAAUUUAAGAACUAAAGAGGUUAGGUGUGGGAUGUGAGCGCUGAAGUUCUCUCUCACUUCUCUGGAGCCUCAGAGGGAAGCCUUGGGCUGGCAGAGGAACAGAAGUAGCAAGGGCCUGCCAAUGGGUUGGCAAGGAUGCAAAAGACUCUCAAGGAGAACUUUAAAUCCCAAACAAUGAGUGGUCACGGGGUGACAGGUAGGCUGUGUAAAGGAAAGCAGUGGAGAGCUAAAUCCGGCUUGUCCAGGUGAGCCCAGCCCACGCUGGGUCUCACCUGUCAUCACAGUGUGGGCUCAUUGGUGGGGCAGGGCAGGGAAGGACUUGGUGAGGAGGUCGUGGACUCCACAUUCAGGCCAGCACACUCACCAAGGCAGAUGAUGUGCACGAGUUCUUGCCGACAUUUGCUCAGGUGAAAAGUGCAGGGUGUGGUGUUAUCAACUCUUUGUUUGGCUGGGCAGUCAUAAUUCUUCCCAGAUCACAGGAUCUUGAGUGUCAGAUAGCUUGGUUGGGAAAGGCAAGAGGACACAGCUGCCCCGUCUUUGGGAC
ensembl:lncRNA